UAAUAACAAUUCAAAUGAGCAGGAAAUGGCAAGAACUCAGAAGUCCUGGUAAGAUGUGUGCAUCAGGGGUUGGAGAUAAGCCCUACAAAGACUCAGAGGCCUGCCACAUCAGAAAAGUUUUUAAAGGUCCAGUGGUAUGGGGCAUACUGUGGUAUUUCUUCCAAGAUAAAGAAGAAAUCGUUAAACCUUGAACAUCCCAUCUUUAAGGGACUUAAAUACAUGGGUCUGAAGACCAAGGGCUGGCAGAAGAGGUAGCCCUUCUUAGCACCAUUCCCAGUGACCCACCGGAGGAAUCCAUGCCUCUUGUCCCUGCACAUUUAGGAUCUGAUGAACCUGAUUCCAGGGUCGGGGGGAAAUACCUGAAGCAGGAGACACAGUAAGGGUUCCUCUAAUCCUAAAGUGAGGGCUGUUCCCUGGUCAUUUUGGGGUCCUCAUGCCAGCAUACCAGCA
rnacentral:lncRNA from 1 species